CUUGAUUUGCUUGACAUUAGUAAUUCUCUUUCAUGAGCGCAUUGGGGAAUACCGAAAUGGCAAGAUCCGAGCCGAUGUGAUUGACCCCUGCGAAUAUUCGGAAGCCAUUUAUCCCAAACAGGCCCUGCUAUGGUGAGGUGUGUCAGCGAUGACGGAUGUGGAGGCGACCUAUGAGGACUUCAUCGCCUCUCGACGAUCUGGCCGCAGGAAUGCCAUCCAUGAUAUUCCAGACGCCCCUGGAGAACCGGGCACCACUGAUCUGUCAGAGAGUCUGGCACAGCUCAACAUCAACAAGUCAGGUGAUGAGGGAGAAGAUGCUGAGAAAAGCCAGAACUCUCCAACUAAAGAAGAGCAGACUCAAGCUGAGGGAAGCUAAGUGCCACCGGACAUUUAUGGACUCCAGCAGCCACUUCUUUUAGUCUAUCUGCUCCCUGUAUGCUAAGCCUCUGCCUGGCCAGUUGCAUCUAAUGACUGUGAACAACAAAAUCUUCUAUUGCCACUAUCCUGCCAUCAGGAAGUCAUCACUAUGGCAACCACAGCACAGUCUCUCUCUCUCUCUCUCUCUCUCUCACUUGUAAUUGGGUGUGUUCCAAUUUCCUUAAAAACCCUCCUUCCUUUGCUGCCUUUUGUCCAAGGCUGCUGAUAUCAGAUUGGAUGUAAUUUAAGGUGAACUAAACAUGAUGUCAACAACCAAAACCAGCCCACUUUUGACUGUGAGUGGUUUUGAGUGGAAAGUGGAGGGUGGAAAUCAGGCUAGUAAAGGUUUUUAGAGCACCCUUAAGUGUAGCCACAGAAUUAAAAAUUGUCUUCCCCCCUCUCCUCGUCUCCUUGAAUUAAUCACCGCUGAUGCGACUGAAACACAGACGGCGACUGGACAUCUACUGAUCUUGCCUCGACGCCUGAACACGUGCUCCCUCCAUAAGUACUCACUAUUGACCGUUUCCUAUUUCCAUGGAUCUGUGUAUUGGAUUGAUGGACGUUAUCCUGCAACUGCACUCAGCAGCUCAAAGGCCCUGUUGUACUUUGUUGCAUGUAUCCACCCAUAUCUAAAUGGGUAUUUUUUAUCAUCAUUUCAGACAUCCCAUUUGAAGUAUUACACUGGUCAAACAGGGUCCAGUUUUUGUUUUGUUUUUUUAAAAAGUAAGAGUCAGAUCACAGGAUGUAAAGCAUUUUUUUUUUCCAAGUUAGGAACAGCAUCAUGUGCUCCUCGAUCUGUCACAGGCAAAAUGAGUGUCUGUUUAGUUUUGGUGGCUGGCUUCACUGCACCUUGCUUUACUCUUGCACACUGACCCAUAACUUUGAGUUCACUAUAACUACUCGCUAGCCUUUUGUUGUUUGCACUGCCAGGCCUCACAAAUGAAGCCAGGGAGUACAAAUUGUACAAACCCAAAAUUGUGGGUUUUUCAAACCAUUGUUCUGCCAAGGCAAUAUUUUCUUUUGCUUUGCUAAUUCAGGACCUGGACUACUUCCCAUAAUUGAUGGAACCAUGAAUUCAACUCUUUACAAGAAAAUACAGAAAGAGAACAUCUGGCCAUCGGUUUGUGGUCCGAACUUCAAGCACACUUGGGUUAUUGAGUAGGACAGUGAUCCAAAACACACCAGCAAGUCCACCUCUGAAUAGCUCGAACCAACAAAAUGAAGGUUUUGGACUCCUAAUGAGAUGUUUUUCAUGACCUUAAAAACACUGUUCAUGCUCAUAAAACCCUCCAAUGUGGAGGAAUCAAAACAAUUCUGCAGAAAAGACUCACUCUGCUACAGCAAUGUGAAUGACUCAUUACCAAUACUUGCAAAACCUCUUGCCUGCAGUUCUUAUUACCAAGCCUAGCACCACCAUUUAUUAGGCUUAGGGGUCAUGUACUGUUUCACACAGGGCCAGGUAGGUUUGGAUAGCUUUUUUCAAUUAAUACAAGAAAUCAUCUUUUUUUCUUUUUUUUUUAAAAAGCAUUUUGUUUGAACUCGGGUUAUCUUUAGGAAAAUGCUUUUUAAUGACGCUGUAAACAAUGAAAUUGAUUGGUUGGAAAGUAGGAUUUCACCCUUACUGUACAUCUUAUACUUCAAUAAUUGUAAUCAAAACUGGCUGCUCACUGUCUGCAAAUGUGUCCGGUCUAACUUGUGAUGGCCUUGGAUGCAGGAGUUCUCCUUACAUGCAGGGUAUCUACACACAUUAAGUGGUUUUCCCACAGUUUAACAUUGCACUGCCAUGUAUUAUACCCAAGUGUGUAAUUUGGUUGUGGUGGACAUCAAGGAAAAACAUUUAUUUGCUACUUAAGAUUUGGAAAUUGCACUACUGAUAGCACUGCAGUGUGGUUUAUUAGUGUGUGCUGUAUGUGUAAAUUUUCGUAGAUAAGACGACUGUUAGAAUGAAUCAUUUGUACUGGCACACUGUCAGUUUUGCAAUUCCCUUUUGUAAUCCGUUUUCAUAGUUUCGUUUUAACACCAUUACUGUACUCUGUCCAGUUUAGAUCUACUAAGGAAAUAUGUGGGCAUACAUUCUAAAAAUGCUUUAUUACUUUUUUAUAUCUUGCAGCUGAUCAUUUUGUUUUCAUUGUUUAGUUACCUUCACUAAGGAGGUUAUGUUUUUACUACCGUUUCUAGUUAUUUGUCAACAGGAUUAUGCAUCUGCAGCUACCUGGAUGAUUUUCAGGAAACUUGGAGGUAACGUGGAGUAUGGGCAUAUAGGAAGAAGCUGUAAAAAUUGGGCGGGUGGACGGUGGGUGUAGUAAACCUUUAGUUUUAACCUGUUAAAAGGGAUUAGUGCCAUUUUAUAGUGCAUCAUAGGACUAUGAUAACUUGUACUUUGAGUCCAGUGUAAUGUGAUUUAAUGACCGGUACUGUUGCAAUUUAGGUGAGCUAAAGAACUCAAGCUGUUGUUCCAUUUCCCACUGUUAUUUUCAGUAUUUUAUAAAAUUCCCGAUUUAGUCAUGUUAUUGUGUUAUCAGAGGCAUUACUAUGUAAUAUACUCAUUUUUGACUUUGUCGAUUUGGUUAGUUUUGAUGUGCAAUUAAAUUUUACUAGUGAAUUAA